rnacentral:rRNA from 1 species
AUUGAACGCUGGCGGCAGGCCUAACACAUGCAAGUCGAACGAGUGGCGGACGGGUGCGUACUGUCUGGGAACCUGCCCGAUGGAGGGGGAUAACUACUGGAAACGGUAUCUAAUACCGCAUACCAUCGGAUGUGCCCAGAUGGGAUUAUCUAGUAGGUGGGGUAAAGGCUCACCUAGGCGACGAUCCCUAGCUGGGCUGAGAGGAUGACCAGCCACACUGGAACGGAGACACGGUCCAGACUCCUACGGGAGGCAGCAGUGGGGAAUAUUGCACAAUGGGCGCAAGCCUGAUGCAGCCAUGCCGCGUGUAUGAAGAAGGCCUUCGGGUUGUAAAGUACUUUCAUCGAGGAGGCGGUACUCGAAGAAGAAGCACCGGCUAACUCCGUGCCAGCAGCCGCGGUAAUAC